rnacentral:rRNA from 1 species
UACGAAGGGUGCAAGCGUUACUCGGAAUUACUGGGCGUAAAGCGUGCGUAGGUGGUUUGUUAAGUCUGUUGUGAAAGCCCCGGGCUCAACCUGGGAAUGGCAAUGGAUACUGGCAAGCUAGAGUGCGGUAGAGGGUAGUGGAAUUCCCGGUGUAGCGGUGAAAUGCGUAGAGAUCGGGAGGAACACCAGUGGCGAAGGCGACUCUGUGGCCUAUAACUGACGCUGAGGCGCGAAAGCGUGGGGAGCAAACAGG